rnacentral:lncRNA from 1 species
GAUGAUUGAUUUGGAAUGAAAGAUUGUCUUGAUUGUUUGGGUGUUCAACCUAAUUCUUGUUAUGGCUAGAAUUAGGUCAAAUGUUUGAAAUCCUUUGCUUGGGAUAGGCUUAGGAAUUCAGUAGGUUGGCAAUCGAGGAUAGAAUUAGGUUAUUGGUGGGGUAAACCGAUAACCUAAUCCUACCUUUUGUGUUUUCCCCGGUUUUAAGUGAAAACCAUGUUGUAAUUGGCGGGCGCUCUGGUUUGCACCCAAUGGACCAAGUUGGGUGUAAUUAUCAGUAGCUUAGGCGUUGAUGGACCAAGUUAACGCUAUUUCUAAUUACUCAUGGGUUCUUUUGAUUCCGGGAAAGCACCCUUUCACUUUGUAGAACUCCUUGGAGUUCAUUACUAG